rnacentral:rRNA from 1 species
UACGGGGGGGGCAAGCGUUGUUCGGAAUUACUGGGCGUAAAGGGCUCGUAGGCGGCCAACUAAGUCAGACGUGAAAUCCCUCAGCUUAACUGGGGAACUGCGUCUGAUACUGGAUGGCUUGGAUUCGGGAGAGGAAUGCGGAAUUCCAGGUGUAGCGGUGAAAUGCGUAGAUAUCUGGAGGAACACCGGUGGCGAAGGCGGCAUUCGUGGACCGACAUUGACGCUGAGGAGCGAAAGCCAGGGGAGCAAACGGG